CUUCCUUUUCCUUCUUCUUCUUCUUCUUCUUCUUCUUCUUUCUUCUCCUUCCCUUCCUUUUCCUUCUUCUUCUUUUCCGUCUUAUUUUUUUUCUUCUGCUUUCUCCUUCUUCUUCUUCUUCUCCUUUCUCCUUCUUAUUCUUCUUCUCCUUUCUCCUUCUUCUUCUUCUUCUCCUUUUCUACUUUACUAAACAAGAAGCUAACAUAACUAAACCUAAACUAAAACUGAACCUAAACUAAACUAAUUUAACAACCUAACUAACUAGACUAACUAACCUAAUAAACUAAAAAACUAACCUAACUAAUUUAACAUAAAUAAAAAUAAGGAAAAACAAAAAA
rnacentral:lncRNA from 1 species